rnacentral:rRNA from 1 species
AUUGAACGCUGGCGGAAUGCUUUACACAUGCAAGUCGAACGGCAGCACGGUGGCAGCCCUGGUGGCGCGUGGCGAACGGGUGUGUAAUACAUCGGAACGUGCCCGGUCGUGGGGGAUAACGUAGCGAAAGUUACGCUACUACCGCAUACGAUCUGAGGCUGAAACCGGGGGACCUUCGGGCCUCGCGCGAUCGGAGCGGCCGAUGUCAGAUUAGGUAGUUGGUGGGGUAAAGGCCUACCAAGCCGGCGAUCUGUAGCUGGUCUGAGAGGACGACCAGCCACACUGGGAGUGAGACACGGCCCAGACUCCUACGGGAGGCAGCAGUGGGGAAUGUUGGACAAUGGGCGCAAGCCUGGUCCAGCCAUUCCGCGUGGAGGACGAAGGCCUUCGGGUUGUAAACUGCUUUUGUACGGAACGAAAAGGAUCUGGCUAAUACCUGGGGUUCAUGACGGUACCGUAAGAAUAAGCACCGGCUAACUACGUG